rnacentral:tRNA from 1 species
GCCCUUGUAGCUCAGUGGUAGAGCAUUUCCUUGGUAAGGAAAAGGUAGUGAGUUCAAAUCUCCCCAAGGGCU